AGAGUUUGAUCCUGGCUCAGGAUGAACGCUAGCUACAGGCUUAACACAUGCAAGUCGAGGGGAAACGACAUCGAAAGCUUGCUUUUGAUGGGCGUCGACCGGCGCACGGGUGAGUAACGCGUAUCCAACCUGCCCACCACUUGGGGAUAACCUUGCGAAAGUAAGACUAAUACCCAAUGAUAUCUCUAGAAGACAUCUGAAAGAGAUUAAAGAUUUAUCGGUGAUGGAUGGGGAUGCGUCUGAUUAGCUUGUUGGCGGGGUAACGGCCCACCAAGGCAACGAUCAGUAGGGGUUCUGAGAGGAAGGUCCCCCACAUUGGAACUGAGACACGGUCCAAACUCCUACGGGAGGCAGCAGUGAGGAAUAUUGGUCAAUGGACGAGAGUCUGAACCAGCCAAGUAGCGUGCAGGAAGACGGCCCUAUGGGUUGUAAACUGCUUUUAUAAGGGAAUAAAGUGAGUCUCGUGAGACUUUUUGCAUGUACCUUAUGAAUAAGGACCGGCUAAUUCCGUGCCAGCAGCCGCGGUAAUACGGAAGGUCCGGGCGUUAUCCGGAUUUAUUGGGUUUAAAGGGAGCGUAGGCCGGAGAUUAAGCGUGUUGUGAAAUGUAGACGCUCAACGUCUGCACUGCAGCGCGAACUGGUUUCCUUGAGUACGCACAAAGUGGGCGGAAUUCGUGGUGUAGCGGUGAAAUGCUUAGAUAUCACGAAGAACUCCGAUUGCGAAGGCAGCUCACUGGAGCGCAACUGACGCUGAAGCUCGAAAGUGCGGGUAUCGAACAGGAUUAGAUACCCUGGUAGUCCGCACGGUAAACGAUGGAUGCCCGCUGUUGGUCUGAAUAGGUCAGCGGCCAAGCGAAAGCAUUAAGCAUCCCACCUGGGGAGUACGCCGGCAACGGUGAAACUCAAAGGAAUUGACGGGGGCCCG
rnacentral:rRNA from 1 species